UGCGGAUUGACUGGAAGAUGAUCGUACAAUUGGCUUUUUAAUAAUCGAUUGAUUUACCAGGACUGUAAUACAAGUUUACAAAGACAUGUGGGGCAAUGCAAAUAUUUACUCAGAGUCUCAACUGGACGGGAAUGCUUGGAGAGGUGGUCUAUGAGUCUGUGGCUUCUGGGCAUUCCAGACAACCCCGCUGCACUUUAACGAAUUUAGUUUAUUUAAU